UACGGAGGAUGCAAGCGUUAUCCGGAAUGAUUGGGCGUAAAGCGUCCGCAGGUGGCUAUGUAAGUCUGCUGUUAAAGAGUGAGGCUCAACCUCAUAAGAGCAGUGGAAACUAUAUGGCUAGAGUGCGUUCGGGGCAGAGGGAAUUCCUGGUGUAGCGGUGAAAUGCGUAGAGAUCAGGAAGAACACCGGUGGCGAAAGCGCUCUGCUAGGCCGCAACUGACACUCAUGGACGAAAGCUAGGGGAGCGAAUGGG
rnacentral:rRNA from 1 species